rnacentral:rRNA from 1 species
GAUGAACGCUAGCUACAGGCUUAACACAUGCAAGUCGAGGGGUAACGAGAGGAAAGCUUGCUUUCCUUGUCGACGACCGGCGCACGGGUGAGUAACGCGUAUCCAACCUGCCCCCAACUAGGGAAUAACCUUGCGAAAGUAAGACUAAUACCCUAUAAUUUCCUCAGAUGUCAUCUGACGAGGAAUAAAGAUUUAUCGGUUGUGGAUGGGGAUGCGUCUGAUUAGCUUGUUGGCGGGGUAACGGCCCACCAAGGCAACGAUCAGUAGGGGUUCUGAGAGGAAGGUCCCCCACAUUGGAACUGAGACACGGUCCAGACCCCUACGGGAGGCAGCAGUGAGGAAUAUUGGUCAAUGGGCGGAAGCCUGAACCAGCCAAGUAGCGUGCAGGAUGACGGCCCUAUGGGUUGUAAACUGCUUUUAUACAGGAAUAAAGUUAGCCACGUGUGGUUAUUUGUAGGUACUGUAUGAAUAAGGACCGGCUAAUUCCGUGCCAGCAGCCGCCGUAA